AAAAAAGACAGUAAGAAUAAUCUUCCAAACCACAAGACAUUGAGGUGGAUGACCUGACAUCUCUCAAGGAACUGAAGGCUGUCAUGAGCCAUGUGGGGAGGCAAACAGGCCCUUCUUUCCCUUCGAGCCAUAAAAGAGACUUUACUCCUGGUCAGCAGCCUGAGUGCAGCUUCGAGACGGACCCUGACGCAGAGGACGUGGCUAAGCUACCGUUUUACUAUCCAUAUCCCAAAGUUGUUGGAUCACAAUGAAUCCGUGGCAAUCCAAAGUACAGGUUCAUAGCUAGGAUGUCUCCUGCAAGUGGGAGAUGAGUUCAAUCCAUUGGCAAUGCACCCAGAGACUUCCCUCCGCAUAUUUUAAGUGAGAAUAUAUAAAGGGCUCACAGAUUGUAAGCGCUUGGUAUCAUGAGUAUCAUGGGAUCACAAGUUAAAACCACAACCAGAACAAUGGCUAAAACAAAAAGACAGGCCAUCCUAAGUGUGGGGAAAGUCAUGGAGCAACUACCUGUUUUUUUCAGUAACAUUGCUUAGUACAUUAGGGGAACAGCCUCUUUGGAUAACCAUGUCGCACACUCCGACAAAGCAAACAAACCAAAUGCCUAUACCAGCCUCUGGAUUUUGUAGACAAAAUUGCUUUUGUGAAUAAAGUUUUAUUCAGCGGUAUGCCCGUUAGCCUGUAUUAUCGCUUGGGACUUGUCAAGCUCGGACACGAUGCUUUGUAGAGCCUCACGUGUUUGCUAUCUGUUUCUUUACAGAAAGUUUUCCAAGCCCCAGUCUUCACUACCUCUCUGAAACUUCUCAGCCUAGUGCCUUAAAGUGGGGGUGCCCUGGGGGCUACAAGAGGCUUCAUUAAACAUCUCCAACUGGACGUAACCCCAAGUUCACUCCAGAAGAAUGGGUGCUUUAUGCCGCAGCCAUUGGGCAAGACACCUUACAGCUCGAGUGGUGGCUGGGUAGCAGGAGUGAAUAGGUCUCAGAGCUGAGCAGGAGAAGACAAGACCCUGGAGAGAGCACAGUUCACCUCCAUUUACAUGAGGUUCACAUAGGUGAAAGUGGUCCAUAGAAGCCACAAAUCACAAAAAAACCUGCUUACACAGUCCACCCACCUGAAGGAUGAAUCCUGGGUGCUGGAAUUGUGUGACAUGUUAACUAAUGUUUAUCUCCAAGUAAGAAAUGAAAUUCUGUUUUUCUGUAUGUGAUAUCAAAAAGUCUUUAGAAAAUGUGCAGUUUUAAAAGUAUUUGCUAUGUGUCUAGCAGAUCAAAGGAGAAUUGAAUGGGCCACGUGUAAUCCCAGGUCAGAGGCCGACUGCCUCUGCCACAACUAUUUUGUGGGGUGAGACUCAUUUAUGGUUUGGGCCUUCUGGCUUACCGGAAGGUUUCAAGAACUGAACAAAGACGUCCUCAGGCGCUCCCUCAGACGCCUCAUGAGAGGGAGUGCCGGGGCUUGGAUGUAUCCUUCAGUUUUUAAAUGUUGGAACCCAAAUCCCCAGUUAAGCUGUCUUGGUAGGUGGAGACGACGAGGAGGAGGGGUUCAGUGGGGAUGGCUGUGCCCCCUGGAAUGGACAAAUGCAAUUGUCACAGGAGUGAGGUCCUUAUUCUGGAGUUUUCUACCCCUACAAAAAGUGAGCCCCGUCCCCAUCCUCUUGCCUUUAGCUAUGGGAUGGUGCAUUAAGAAAUGCCCUUGUCAGAUGCCAGAACCUUGGUCAUGGCUUUUAAGUCUCCAGAAGUCUGAGAAAUAAAUUUCUGAUCUUUACAAGUGAACCCGUCUGUGGUAUUCCAUUAUAGUGACACAAAGCAGAUCAAGACAGGAGAGCUCUCCCCGCAGAGACUGGCUCCUGUUACAGCUAUGUAAAUUUGUGAGGCUUCAGCAGUCAACAUGCUAGAUUCUGCAUCACUCAGACCGCAGCCCCAUUGUAUUUUACCGAAUGCCUAGCUAGGGUCACAUUUUGUCCUGUCUCCUCCAUUCACCCGCCUGCUCCUGUCCCCAUGUCUUAGAUGAGCUUAAAGAAUAUCGUAUCUCUCGUCUGGCCACCAUUCUAGGUUGAUCUUACACUUUCCCCUACUCAGCUCCAGACCACAUGUUUUUGGUAGAAAUAACGUGGAAAGGAUGCUGGUACCCUGGGUUGUGGGCUUGUGGGAUACACGAUUCCUUCAAAGUCUUGAGGUCAGCCAGGCAAGUAAGUCAGUGUCUACCAACCCCCUCCUGAGUGAAGUCGCCCGUCGGCGUCGGUGGCAUUUUGUGGAGAAUUUUCUGAGGGUGUUUUCUCCCCUCUGCCUUUUCCACGUCUUGUCAGUUGACAAGUCCUCUGGGGACCACCAGCUUCUGUUUUGUUUUGUUCCCUGUGAUGUAUUCUUUUGUUAUGCAUGGCAGUUAACUCUGUCUUGAAGGGACAGGGCUUUCGGUCCACAUUUAUUUGUGUUAGUGUAGACUGUGGCUUCCUAAUUCAUUCAAUGGCUUGUAGUUCCAUACUGUGUAGACAAAGACAGGGAGGCCAUUGUGAACUCAAUCGGUUUUGACAUUUUCAAAAGGUACAGUUCCCUACUUUGCUAAUUAGCAAGGUAAAGAAACUUCAAAAUGCACGUGGCAGAGGGGAUUCCUGGAUGGCCGCCAUCCUGUAUCUGUGCCAGGAAAGUGGAGGGAAGGGAAGAUUCUAGUCACUUACAGAGAAGCUUCGUCUAGUAUAUGCUCAACAAUGGAGGAAGAGAUGAGGCGCUGUCAGAGACAUUUCCUGGACUCUAACAGUGCAUUCCCUGCAGAGCCAACAAGCACCAAGAGGGGGGAACCCAUUAAUCUAGUAAAUGGGACAAACACCAAUCCUCCCUCCACUGCACAAAAGCACCCAUUCUAUAACUGAAGAAAAUAGGAAUAGGGACCCCCGCCCAGAUUCGUAACCAGGAAGCCAGGUGAACUGCUCAAGUCAAGAAUCCUAUCACGAUGAAAGUCAUUGUAAAAAUUGCUUUGGUUCAAAACAAAGAAAGCUUCUUGAAAUGAAGCAAACAAAUGGCUUGGGUUGUUUUGCUUCCAGCCCACGUCUAUAAAGUCUUCAAUAUUUAUAGGGAGUGGCAAGUGGGUCAUAUUGAGGGAAUAGUGUGUGUGCACGCGCGCAUGCGUGUGUGUGCACGUGUGUCUGCCUGUCUGACAAACAACAGUAUGUGGGAGUGGGUACAGGGUAUUUGUUAUUUUGAGAUCAACAUUUAAGCAUUACUUUUAAUGAGACUCAGUCGGGGCCUGCGCAGCACAAGCUGGAAAGAGGCUCUCAGAUGCGCAUGUCCCAUGAGCCUCUGACCCGGAAGCCCUUGGCCAACUGAGCAAGAGAGUUUUGCCAGACGCGCCCACCGCGUCUUUUUGUUCAAGUGAAAAAGAUUGCACGCACUUGACAGACUUCUGUUCCGGAAGUCUCCAGGGUAAUGGAUGUUUGCCUUUAUUGAAGUGUUUCCCACCAGGACAAGCGACAUCUCUGAGGGUUGGGGGCAGUGUGAAAUCAUGGAAGAGGAGGGGUGGAGAAAGGGUGAGAAGAGAACAAUCCACAAAGCAGCCACAAGUCAAGUUGUAGGUAACCAUUUCCCUUGGCAAGCAAGACUCCGUGUUUCCUGGUGGGAGCUUGUGGUAAGCAUUGUCUUUGUGGUGGUCCUUUAUGGCGUCUACACCAGACCACCAGUUUUCCUUUUAAUGGCUUUGUAAUGUGCCCACUUACCAGGCAGGACUACACACAUUCUCCUCUUGGAUUUCCUGUUGGUGCAGGCCAUAGAGGGAAGGUUUUUUGUUUUUUGUUUUUUGGUUUUUUUUUUUGUUUUGUUUUUUGUUUUUUGUUUUGUUUUGUUUUGUUUUUUUUUUGUGAGGGUCAGAGGAUGGAGGGGAGAGUGGAAUUUUGUAACAUAUACACAUUGUUUCUUGGCAAGUGCUCUGUAUUUGAGCUAUAGACUCAACCCAGACACAGUGUCUCUAGUGCGUUGAUCCACUUUCUUGGAGUGAAACAACAAUUUGACCUGUGACAGCUCCUCCCUCCCCCGCUUCCCCUUAACCCUCUCCUUGUUUUCUCUGAGGUCCAUUAGGUCUGUCUGUGCUCAGUUUCUGACACAGAAAGAAUCCUGGCUUCGACAGGAUAUCCCCGUUACCAAAGUCAGAGAAAAUGAACCGAGAUGGGUCAGCCUGGAUAUGGGGCUAUAGGGCUAUGGGUGUGGGGGCGUGGUGCCUGCCUGUUGCUCAUGUCCUUCUUUCCCGACUACCCAAGUGUGAGCUCUGGCCUCCAGCAUUACUGCAGAGAUGGCUUUGCAGAGGCAGAUCGGUACAGUCUUAGGAGUGCUUACAAUCUGCGCAUAUCUGUCUCCUAUUGUCUCUGCCUCCAUGAGUAAACCCCGACUGAUACGUGCCUUCUGGGUCCAAGAGCCUUUGCCUCGGCUGCAAUCCACAGCCCAGCUUAUACCAGAAGCUUCUCCUGGCUGAGGACCGUUCACCCUCUCAGGCACGUGCCGUGUAGUCCAGUUAAGUUUCCUGCUACAGUAGGACCCAUGACUUCUGGUCCUGUCUUAGCGCUCGAGAGAUGCUGUGUGAGCUUUCCCUGUCACCUUCUCUCUUGGAUAAAGAAGGUUGUUUCUUAGUACAUCUAGCAUCUACACAGAAGAUCAGAAGAAGGCAUGACUUCAGGGCCUUUCUUACAUCCCCAGAAAGGCCUUGCUGGGUAACCUUGUCUUCUUGCAGCUGAGGGGUGGGGGUGUGAGAAGAAAUAAAAAGUAAAUGAGCGCAAGCCCCUCUGCCGUUAUCCCAUCAUAAGAACUCGGAACUGAAUAUGGGCCGAGGUGAGGUGUUCCUCAGCUAGUGGUUCCAAAGGCCGCAAGCAUCCUUCUCCAACUGCCCAUAUCCAAACUCUGGACUUCCAAGGGCCCAGAUAAUCUGUCAACUAAAACAAGCUGCAGACCUAAAGUGAGAACGGCUGCCUUUGACCGUAGUCUACAUACUACAUCUAACUGAGUGGGACUUCUUACGGUAGUGGCUAGCCCAGAGCUACCUCAGGGCUGGGACUUGCUGGCCACUCCAAGUGGCUAAAUACACAUUUAUGUGCCUUAGAAGCCAAAGGAAGCAGAGAUAGGAUUGACAUUCCAUUGUGAAGCUCUAGAAAUGUCCACAUAUACAUUCUCCUGCCAUUAACUGGGAGGCCACCUCAUGUGUAGGGGGAGCUCGCUAUGAAGGCUUUUGUCAAGUACCAUGAGGGUCAAGAGUCAGACUGGGUUGUGGCUGUCUUUGCAGCUCACAGUUGGGGGACAUCAGAGCCAGAUCUGGAUGCAGCUUCUAAAAAGUAGCAGGAGGAAAAAAAAAAAAGUAGCAGGAGGUUGAAGACAGAAAAAUUGAUGAAGAUGAAGUAGUUGAAGAUAACUUCAACGGAAGUCUGGCCACCUCUGCUCGUCCUCAGAAAGU
rnacentral:sRNA from 1 species